ACCCUCAUAGCUAUUCAGAUCGGGACCCCCACUGCGCCGCCAGUGCCCCCGGGCCGUCCACGCCGCGCCAGCGCCCCGGCUUUUGGUCGCGCCGCCCGCGACCGACGCUUCCCCGCCGGCGACUGGUCGAUUCCGCCGCCACCACUUCGUCGCGCAUCCCCCGCGACCGACAGUAGCUCGCCGCCUGGUCCCCGCACUGUGCGGCCGCCCCCGCGACACACACUGCCCCGCCCCCGGUGUAUUCCACUGCCCGCCGCCGCCCGGUUCUGCCGUUGGUGGCCGUCUGAAGCCGCCGCCUCCUGGCUGCUGACCCGAUCGGCCAUCUCCGCCUUCACCUGUGCGGUCGACCUGAGCUGAUAUGAUAAAGAUGUAUCUAAGCAUGAUGGUUUGAUAAUGGCAGGUUUGGAUGAUGGAUGCUAGUGGAGAUCAUGGGCAUGAGAGUCCUUUGUCCGAAAGUAAUUGUUCCCAAAGGUGCUCCAUCUAAGAAGAGAAUGAAGCCAUUUCAUGAGACAAUCAGGGAGUCUGUAAAGCGCAAGAGGGGAGAUCCAGGCGAUGCAGCGAAUGUGGCAAUCUGAACCAUGACAUUCGCAAAUGUCCUGAUCUGGGUAGAGGUUUAACUUGUUGCUCCAUGGAAAAGUCGGCGAAAGCAAAAAUUUCUGGAAGAACAUGAUCAUGGUUAUUGUGUUCCAAAUGUAAAUUGUGGGAUCGAAAUUGAUGCUUUCUUACUCUGUUAGCAACAAAUGGAUAUUCUGUAGACUUGGUGUUGAGAUUUUUAUUUGUAACAGUAAACUUGGUGGUUGGUGAAUGGAUUUCGUUUGGGAUGUGUUCAAAUUAUUACCUCUCAGCA